CCUACGGGAGGCAGCAGUGGGGAAUAUUGCACAAUGGGGGAAACCCUGAUGCAGCGACGCCGCGUGGGGGAAGAAUCGCCUACGCGCGUAAAGCCCUGUCAGCAGGGAAGAAAAUGACGGUACCUGAAGAAGAAGCCCCGGCUAACUACGUGCCAGCAGCCGCGGUAAUACGUCGGGGGCAAGCGUUAUCCGGAUUUACUGGGUGUAAAGGGGGCGCAGACGGCGAUUCAAGCCAGUAGUGAAAGCCCGGGGCCCAACCCCGGGACUGCUGUUGGAACUGCGUGGCUAGAGUGCAGGAGGGGCAGGCGGAAUUCGUGGUGUAGCGGUGAAAUGCGUAGAUAUCAGGAGGAACACCGGUGGCGAAGGCGGCCUGCUGGACUGCAACUGACGUUGAGGCCCGAAAGCGUGGGGAGCAAACAGGAUUAGAUACCCGGGCAGUC
rnacentral:rRNA from 1 species